GGGGGUGUAGCUCAAAAGGUAAAGCGAUCGCUUUGCAUGCGAGAAGCACGAGGUUCAAUUCCUCGCACUUCCA
rfam:Ipomoea nil DNA, scaffold: scaffold2283, cultivar: Tokyo-kokei standard.